rnacentral:rRNA from 1 species
UGCCAGCCGCCGCGGUAAUACUGAAGGUGCAAGCGUUAAUCGGAAUCACUGGGCGUAAAGCGCUCGUAGGUGGCUUUGUAAGUCAGAUGUGAAAGCCCACGGCUCAACCGUGGAAUUGCAUUUGAUACUGCAUCGCUAGAGUAUAGGAGAGGGAAGUGGAAUUUCUGGUGUAGGAGUGAAAUCCGUAGAGAUCAGAAGGAACACCGGUGGCGAAGGCGACUUCCUGGACUAUUACUGACACUGCGUAGCCAAAGCGUGAGGAGCAAACAUCAUUACACA